ACCUGCCGAAUGAAUUAGCCCUAAAAAUGGAUGGCGCUGAAGCGGGUGGCCGACACCACACCGUGUGACUGAGUUUGUAUUUUAUUUUAAAGUUGCAUGAGUAGGAGGGCGUGGCGGGCGUGGAGAAGCGUGGGCGCGAGCCUGCGUUGAACGGUCCGCUAGUGCAGAUCUUGGUGGUAGUAGCAAGUAUUCAAGCGAGAACCUUGAAGGGCGAAGCGGGGAAGGGUUCCAUGCGAACACUGAUUGGGCAUGGGUGAGUCGUUCCUAAGCCGAGUGGCAAUUGCUAAGUGACGAAUUUUUUUGUGUGGCGAAAGGGAAGCGGGUUGAAAUUCCCGCACACGGAUGUGGAGAGCGGUGACGCGAGAUGAGGCGAAAACGCUGGCGACGGCGCUGGGCAGAGUUGUCUUUUCUGUUUGACCGAGUGUGUGGGCUGUGUGGAAUCCGCUUGUGGGGAGAAACACGCUUGCACGGGCAGAGCGCCGGGGCUUUUCCGGCGUCCAGCUCGCCGUCGACGGCCCUUGAAACUUUGCCUACUUUGAAUUUUCGGAUUCAGAAAUCCACGCCGUGGCGUACCGAUAUCCGCAUCAGGUCCCCGAGGUGAACAGCCUCUGCUCGAUAUGAACAAUGCAGGUAAGGGAAGUCGGCAAAUUGGACCCGUAACUUUGGGAAAAGGGUUGGCUCUAGUGCUGCGUGGGAGAGGUUGACCGUGUUGCUGUGACCGGGCGGGAGGGCUGGCUUGGCGCGGGACCUGGGCCAGUGCGAGCGGGGCCGGGGGGUUUCUUCGGAGCUCUUCGUGUCUUUUUUUUUGUGUUGUGUUUUGGGGCCUGUUCUGGGUUGCUCACCCUCUGAUUGCGCCGCGGAUGACGCCCACGGCAUGCAGCAGACU
rnacentral:rRNA from 1 species